rnacentral:rRNA from 1 species
UACGGAGGGUGCAAGCGUUUAUCCGGAUUUACUGGGUUUAAAGGGUGCGCAGGCGGAUAUGUAAGUCAGUGGUGAAAUCUCUGGGCUUAACCCGGAAAUUGCCAUUGAUACUAUAUAUCUUGAAUGCUGUGGAGGUAAGCGGAAUAUGUCAUGUAGCGGUGAAAUGCUUAGAUAUGACAUAGAACACCUAUUGCGAAGGCAGCUUACUACGCAGAUAUUGACGCUCAUGCACGAAAGCGUGGGGAUCAAACAGGAUU